CCUACGGGGGGCAGCAGUGAGGAAUAUUGGUCAAUGGACGAGAGUCUGAACCAGCCAAGUAGCGUGAAGGAUGACUGCCCUAUGGGUUGUAAACUUCUUUUAUAUGGGAAUAAAACGUUCCACGUGUGGGAUUUUGUAUGUACCAUAUGAAUAAGGAUCGGCUAACUCCGUGCCAGCAGCCGCGGUAAUACGGAGGAGCCGAGCGUUAUCCGGAUUUAUUGGGUUUAAAGGGAGCGUAGGUGGCUUGUUAAGUCAGUUGUGAAAGUUUGCGGCUCAACCGUAAAAUUGCAGUUGAAACUGGCAGUCUUGAGUACAGUAGAGGUGGGCGGAAUGCGUGGUGUAGCGGUGAAAUGCUUAGAUAUCACGAAGAACUCCGAUUGCGAAGGCAGUUCACUGGACUGCAACUGACACUGAGGCUCGAAAGUGUGGGUAUCAAACAGGAUUAGAGACCCCUGUAGUC
rnacentral:rRNA from 1 species